UCGAUGGGGCGGCGAACCCCGCAACCCUACCAAGAAGUGGACGAAUCUCGACCAAACACCACGGUGGUGGCGAAGGGAUUGGAGAAGAUGAAGAUGAAGAAGACGAAGGCCGUCCCUAUCCCGACCCUCCGUCUUGUGUGUUAGGGCUUCCUCCUAGCCAUGGUAAUUGACCAAGGUAAAGCCCUAGUGGAAGCUGGAGCCCAAGUGUUCUCAUGCUUCUCUCGUCAUCGAUGCCUUGACAGAUUACAAAGAGGAUUCAAUCUACAGCAUACUUCUUCCUGAUUACUUGAAGAAAAUAACUGGUCGAUUAUAAGCACUUGGCUACUGAAGACUGCAGUUAUCGGGAUGCUUACAAUUUUGACAAUGGAUCACCAACCAGCAUUAUCCGAUCUUGUAGCGAAUCUGUUAGCUGUUUUCAGAGCAUUCAAAUAUUAUCGGCGGCAUUGAUCCACCAGACAAUCUUGGAAAUGGCAAUGCUUGGAGAGGCCAAUUUGACGAGGUCGCAUUUACAUUCUUGCAUCACAGAAAUGUCAGUCCAGUAUCAAUAAGUGAUGACAUCAUUCCAAUUGACCAAGGUUACUCUUGCAACUGUGACCGUUUUCAAGUCACAAAAACAACACAUUGAUUUAUAUCGAAGUCUCAUGCAAUGAAUCAAUCUUCAUCCUUGGAUGCGAACAGUUGGGCUUUUUGCAGUCACUUUUGGAGAGGUUUCAGAUUUUCUUCUCAUACAGGUGAUCCUUAUCACAAUCUUGUUUUUGUUAUGAUGCAAACCAUAUGUUGUAAUCUUAGAAAAAAUGACCAAAA